AUACGGAGGAUCCGGGCGUUAUCCGGAUUUAUUGGGUUUAAAGGGAGCGCAGGCGGAGAUGCAAGCGUGACGUCAAAUUUCGGGGCUCAACCCCGUCUCGCGUCGCGAACUGCGUCCCUUGGUUGCGGGAAGGGGAGGCGGAACUCGUGGUGUAGCGGUGAAAUGCAUAGAUAUCACGAAGAACUCCGAUCGCGAAGGCAGCCUUCCGGCCCGUCAACGACGCUCAUGCUCGAAGGUGCGGGUAUCAAACAGGAUUAGAUACCCUGGUAGUCCGCACAGUAAACGAUGGACACCCGCGGUUUGGCCUGUAUGGCUGAGCCGCCAAGCGAAAGCGUUAAGUGUCCCACCUGGGGAGUACGCCGGCAACGGUGAAACUCAAAUGAAUUGACGGGG
rnacentral:rRNA from 1 species